rnacentral:rRNA from 1 species
UACGUAGGUGCAAGCGUUGUCCGGAAUUAUUGGGCGUAAAGAGCUCGUAGGCGGUCUGUCGCGUCGGCUGUGAAAUCCCGAGGCUCAAACCUCGGGUCUGUCAGUCGGAUACGGGCAAACUAGAGUAUUGCAGGGGAGACGUGGAAAUUCCUGGUGUAGCGGUGAAAUGCGACCAGAUAUCAGGAGGAACACCGGUGGCGAAGGCGGGUCUCUGGGCAAUAACUGACGCUGAGGAGCGAAAAGCGUGGGGAGCAAAAGGG